rnacentral:rRNA from 1 species
UGGCGGCGUGCCUAACACAUGCAAGUCGAGCGGAGUCAGUAAGAGGAAGUUUCGGAUGGAAUCUGUUGAUUAGCGGCGGACGGGUGAGUAACGCGUGAGCGACCAACCUUGCACAGGGGGAUAACGGACCGAAAGGUUCACUAAUACCGCAUGAGACCACGGUGUUGCAUGACACAGAGGUCAAAGGAGCAAUCCGGUGCAAGACGGGCUCGCGUCCGAUUAGGUAGUUGGAGGGUAACGGCCCACCAAGCCUAUGAUCGGUAGCCGACCUGAGAGGGUGAUCGGCCACAUUGGAACUGAGAUACGGUCCAAACUCCUACGGGAGGCAGCAGUGGGGAAUAUUGGGCAAAUGGGGGAAACCCUGACCCAGCAACGCCGCGUGAAGGAAGAAGGUUUUCGGAUUGUAAACUUCUGUCCUUGGUGAAGAGAAGAAGACGGUAGCCAAGGAGGAAGCCCCGGCUAACUACGUGCCAGCAGCCGC